AUGCUCCCCGUGCUGCGGUGCUCCCCGUGCUGCGGUGCUCCAGGUGCUCCCCGUGCUGUGGUGCUCCCCGUGCUGCGGUGCUCCGGGUGCUGCGGUGCUCCCUGUGCUGCGGUGCUUCUUGUGCUGCGAUGCUCCGGGUGCUGCGGUGCUCCCCGUGCUGCGGUGCUCCAGGUGCUCCCCGUGCUGUGGUGCUCCCCGUGCUGCAGUGCUCCGGGUGCUGCGGUGCUCCCUGUGCUGCGGUGCUUCUUGUGCUGCGAUGCUCCGGGUGCUGCGGUGCUCCCCGUGCUGCCCCGCUCCAGGUGCUGCGGAGCACCACGUGGUGCUGCGAUGCUCCGGGUGCUGUGUUGCUCCGGGUCCUGUGAUGCUCCAGGUGCUCCAGGUGCCGCGAUGCUCCCGGUGCUGCGGUGCUCCCCUUCCUUCGGUGCUCCGGGUGCUGCGGCGCUCCGGGUGCUGCGGAGCUCCCUGUGCUGCGGAGCUCCCUGUGCUGCGAUGCUCCCGGUGCUGCGAUGCUCCCUGUACUGCGGUGCUCCGGGUGCUGCGGUGCUCUGGGUGCUGCGGUGCUCCGGGUGCUGCGGUGCUCUGGGUGCUGUGAUGCUCCGGGUGCUGCGGUGCUCCGGGUGCUGCGGUGUUCUGGGUGCUGCGGUGCUCCCUGUGCUGCGGUGCUUCAGGUGCUGCGGUGCUCCAGGUGCUGCGGUGCUCCCAGUGGUGCCGCCCUCCGGGUGCUGGCGCGCUCCGGGUGCUGCGGUGCUCCGGGUGCUGCGGUGCUCUGGGUGGUGUGGUGCUCCGGGUCCUGUGAUGCUCCAGGUGCUGCGGCGCUCCCUGUGCUGCGAUGCUCCGGGUGCUGUGGUGCUCCCGGUGCAGCGGUUCUCCCCGUGCGGCGGUGCUCCCUGUGCUCUGGGUGCUCCGGGUGCUGCCGCGCUCCCCGUGCUGCCGCGCGUGCCCGGAGUGCACAGCGUGCCCAGGCGAGAGGACUGCAGCCAGUGGAGGACGGAGGCGUGCGAGGAGCCGUGGGGGUCUCGCCGGGGCUCAGACCGGGAACCCCGGGCCCCCCGUGGCCCUGCGAAUGUCGGUGGCCACGGGGACUGUGCAGCUCCGGGUCCGGGGUUGCCGGGAGCCCUGGAGACGGGGGCAGCUGCGUCCUGCACCCGGCGACCCGGAGCCUUUCUCGCCCUCGCGCUCUCGCUCCUCCUGGCGCCUGCGUGUGCGGGGCGGGGCGGGGCGGGGGCCUCGGCAGAAAUACACCCCGCAGGAGCCCCCGAGCCGCCUCUGCGCCGGACUGUGGGAGACGGCGGCCUGCAGUGGGCGCCGCGGGUCCUGGGGGGGCCCCUGGCGCCCCGCGGGGGUGAUGCUGACGCCGCCAGGUGCGGGGGCAGGUGA
rnacentral:lncRNA from 12 species